AUGAAAACCAAGUUGUGCGCCGGGGGCAGGCGGAGCCCUUGCCACUCGGGCUGCUGCUGAGCUGCGACAGCGCUACCCGGGUGCCUGGCAUGGAGCAGCAGCGCGACGUCCCCCGGCGACCUCGAGUCCAAGCAGCUGGGUGGCCAGCAGUCACCGCUAGCGCUGCCCCCGGAGCCUGGUGGGGCCUCCUCGAGUACCAGUUCCACAUCAGUGUCACAGGUGGCCUUAGCAACAUGCUGUUCCAGCGCUCUCUACCUGACACCACAGCCACUGUUGGCGAUGAGCCUCAGAAAGAGCUCCUGCGGCUGUACUGAGCGAUUUUGUAGAUGAGGUCCUUGUAAUAAAGAGGGAUCCGAACAAGCUCAGAAAGAAAAUGAAUUUCAAGGGGCCGAGACCAUGGUUCUGGAGAGUGUUAUGUUUGCCAGUCUCUCAGAGCGGUCACUCGGGCCAAAACUCUAUGGAAUCUUUCCCCAAGGCCGACUGGAACAGUUCAUCCCGAGUGGGCGAUUAGAUACUGAAGAAUUAAGUUUGCCAGAUAUAUCUGCAGAAAUCGCUGAGAAAAUGGCUACGUUUCAUGGUAUGAAAAUGCCAUUCAAUAAAGAACCAAAAUGGCUUUUUGGCACAAUGGAAAAAUAUCUAAAUGGAGUGCUGGAUUAAUUAAAUUUACUGGGGAAUCCAGAAUUAAAAAGCUCCACAAAUUCCUCAAUUACAAUCUGCCUUUGGAACUGGAAAACCUGAGAUCAUUGCUUGAAUCUACUCCAUCUCCAGUUGUAUUUUGUCAGAAUGACUGUAAAGAAGGUAGUAUCUUGUUGCUGGAAAGCCGAGAGAAUUCUGAAAAACAGAAACUGAUGCUUAUUGACUUCGAAUACAGCUACAAUUACAGGGGAUUCGACAUUGGGAAUCAUUUCUCUGAAUGGAUAUAUGAUUAUAGUUAUGAAAAGUACCCUUUUUUCAGAGCAAAUAUCCGGAAAUAUCCCACCAAGAAACAACAGCUUCAUUUUAUUUCCAGUUACUUGACUGCAUUCCAAAAUGACUUUGAAAACCUCAGUACUGAAGAAAAAUCCAUUAUAGAAGAAGAAAUGUUGCUUGAAGUCAAUAGGUUUGCCCUUACAUCUCAUUUCCUCUGGGGACUUUGGUCCAUUGUACAAGCCAAGAUUUCAUGUAUUGAAUUCGUGCACAUGGACUACGCCCAAGCAAGGUUUGAUGCGUAUUUCCACCAGAAGAGGAAGCUUGGAGUGUGACUGUGGGGAGGACUCCAUCCACCUCAUCACUGGACUGCAUAAGAAGGCAGCAGAGCAGGGUCCCCCGUGCUUCGACUACUGCUCCUGCGGCAGGAGGCUUUGGGUGGCUCACUACUGAACAGAGAUGUGUUUGAUACUAAAGACUAUAAAACAGAGAGACAUUUAAUUCA